UUUUCCCUACGGGGGGCAGCAGUGGGGAAUAUUGCACAAUGGGGGAAACCCUGAUGCAGCGACGCCGCGUGAGUGAAGAAGUAUCUCGGUACGUAAAGCUCUAUCAGCAGGGAAGAAAAUGACGGUACCUGACUAAGAAGCCCCGGCUAACUACGUGCCAGCAGCCGCGGUAAUACGUAGGGGGCGAGCGUUAUCCGGAUUUACUGGGUGUAAAGGGAGCGUAGACGGUUCUGCAAGUCUGAAGUGAAAGCCCGUGGCUUAACCGCGGAACGGCUUUGGAAACUGUGGAACUGGAGUGCUGGAGG
rnacentral:rRNA from 1 species